rnacentral:tRNA from 1 species
GCGCAUGUGGCGAAAUUGGCAGACGCACCAGAUUUAGGUUCUGGCGCCGCGAGGCGUGGGGGUUCAAGUCCCUCCAUGCGCACCA